GUGGGGAAUUUUGGACAAUGGGCGCAAGCCUGAUCCAGCAAUGCCGCGUGUGUGAAGAAGGCCUUCGGGUUGUAAAGCACUUUUGGCAGGAAAGAAAUAGCGCGUGCUAAUACCAUGCGCGAAUGACGGUACCUGCAGAAUAAGCACCGGCUAACUACGUGCCAGCAGCCGCGGUAAGACGUAGGGUGCAAGCGUUAAUCGGAAUUACUGGGCGUAAAGCGUGCGCAGGCGGUUUUGUAAGACAGGUGUGAAAUCCCCGGGCUCAACCUGGGAACUGCACUUGUGACUGCAAGGCUAGAGUGUGUCAGAGGGAGGUGGAAUUCCGCGUGUAGCAGUGAAAUGCGUAGAGAUGCGGAGGAACACCGAUGGCGAAGGCAGCCUCCUGGGAUAACACUGACGCUCAGGCACGAAAGCGUGGGGAGCAAACAGGAUUAGAUACCCCAGUAGUCC
rnacentral:rRNA from 1 species